CUUGGGCGGGCGGGUGCAGGUGUCUCCUGGGAGUUAGAGCGUGCCCACUGCUUUCCUGUGUGCUAUGGAGGGAGGUAAUGUCGAGACGCGGGAGCCCGGGGCAGUGCGAGAGGCCCACCUCCCGCGCACACCUGCCAGCAUCCCUUGUCCUCUGACCCUCCCUUCCCAGAGGAACACGAACUCCUGCUGAGCCCAUGGGGUUGACCCUGCAGGCCCAGUGGCAGGCCCUCUGUCACCUCUCCGGCUCUUUCUCCCUGGGGGGCUAUACUGGCCUGGGGUCCUGCCUCUGGGACUUGGCCCACCCUUAGAGCACCCCUCUGUCUACCUGUCUGCACAGCCCAGGCCUCCUUUAAGACGUGUCACAGCUCAUUCCACCCUUCCCCCCAGGCCCACACUUGGGGGUGCAGGUGCAGCCUCCACUGAAUGGUGCUGAGUUCUCACGUCACAGGUGUUGGGUGACAGUGCUGUGGUCUGAAUGGUGGUGUGUGCUCUAACGUCACAGGUGUUGGGCGACAGUGCUGUGGUCUGAAUGGUGCUGAGUUCUCACGUCACAGGUGUUGGGUGACAGUGCUGUGGUCUGAAUGGUGCUGAGUUCUCACGUCACAGGUGUUGGGUGACAGUGCUGUGGUCUGAAUGGUGGUGUGUGCUCUAACGUCACAGGUGUUGGGCGACAGUGCUGUGGUCUGAAUGGUGUGUGUGUUCUCACGUCACAGGUGUUGGGUGACAGUGCUGUGGUCUGAAUGGUGUGUGUGUUCUAACGUCACAGGUGUUGGGCGACAGUGCUGUGGUCUGAAUGGUGCUGAGUUCUCACGUCACAGGUGUUGGGCGACAGUGCUGUGGUCUGAAUGGUGGUGUGUCCCGGUUCCUACCACAUUCUUACCCCGCGGGGUGUUGGUGUUG